rnacentral:rRNA from 1 species
GACGAACGCUGGCGGCGUGCUUAACACAUGCAAGUCGAACGGAAAGGCCCUGCUUUUGUGGGGUGCUCGAGUGGCGAACGGGUGAGUAACACGUGAGUAACCUGCCCUUGACUGUGGGAUAACUUCAGGAAACUGGGGCUAAUACCGGAUAGGAGCUCCUGCUGCAUGGUGGGGGUUGGAGAGUUUCGGCGGUUGGGGCUGGACUCGCGGCUUAUCAGCUUGUUGGUGGGGUAGUGGAUUACCAAGGCUUUGACGGGUAGCCGGCCUGAGAGGGUGACCGGCCACAUUGGGACUGAGAUACGGCCCAGACUCCUACGGGAGGCAGCAGUGGGGAGUAUUGCAGAAUGGGCGGAAGCCUGAUGCAGCAACGCCGCGUGCGUGAUGACGGCCUUCGGGUUGUAAACCGCUUUCGCCUGUGACGAAGCGUGAGUGACGGUAAUGGGUAAAGAAGCACCGGCUAACUACGUG